AGCGAACGUUUGCGGCGGGCCUAACACAUGCAAGUCGAACGCACUAGCAAUAGUGAGUGGCGCACGGGUGCGUAACACGUGGGUAAUCAACCCUUCAGCUUGGGAUAACGACUUGAAAGGGUCGCUAAUACCGGAUACGGCGCGGGAGGCUUCGGCUUCUCACGAGAAAGCCUCGCAAGGGGCGACUGAAGGACGAGCCUGCGGCCCAUCAGCUAGUUGGUGAGGUAAGAGCUCACCAAGGCGAAGACGGGUAGCUGGUCUGAGAGGAUGAUCAGCCACACUGGAACUGAGACACGGUCCAGACUCCUACGGGAGGCAGCAGUGGGGAAUAUUGCGCAAUGGGCGAAAGACCUGACGCAGCCACGCCGCGUGAGCGAUGAAGGCCUC
rnacentral:rRNA from 1 species